rnacentral:rRNA from 1 species
AUUGAACGCUGGCGGCAGGCCUAACACAUGCAAGUCGAACGGUAACAGGAAACAGCUUGCUGUUUCGCUGACGAGUGGCGGACGGGUGAGUAAUGUCUGGGAAACUGCCUGAUGGAGGGGGAUAACUACUGGAAACGGUAGCUAAUACCGCAUAACGUCGCAAGACCAAAGAGGGGGACCUUCGGGCCUCUUGCCAUCGGAUGUGCCCAGAUGGGAUUAGCUAGUAGGUGGGGUAACGGCUCACCUAGGCGACGAUCCCUAGCUGGUCUGAGAGGAUGACCAGCCACACUGGAACUGAGACACGGUCCAGACUCCUACGGGAGGCAGCAGUGGGGAAUAUUGCACAAUGGGCGCAAGCCUGAUGCAGCCAUGCCGCGUGUAUGAAGAAGGCCUUCGGGUUGUAAAGUACUUUCAGCGGGGAGGAAGGGAGUAAAGUUAAUACCUUUGCUCAUUGACGUUACCCGCAGAAGAAGCACCGGCUAACUCCGUGCCAGCAGCCGCGGUAAUAUGGAGGGUGCAAGCGUUAAUCGGAAUUACUGGGCGUAAAGCGCACGCAGGCGGUUUGUUAAGUCAGAUGUGAAAUCCCCGGGCUCAACCUGGGAACUGCAUCUGAUACUGGCAAGCUUGAGUCUCGUAGAGGGGGGUAGAAUUCCAGGUGUAGCGGUGAAAUGCGUAGAGAUCUGGAGGAAUACCGGUGGCGAAGGCGGCCCCCUGGACGAAGACUGACGCUCAGGUGCGAAAGCGUGGGGAGCAAACAGGAUUAGAUACCCUGGUAGUCCACGCCGUAAACGAUGUCGACUUGGAGGUUGUGCCCUUGAGGCGUGCUUCCGGAGCUAACGCGUUAAGUCGACCGCCUGGGGAGUACGGCCGCAAGGUUAAAACUCAAAUGAAUUGACGGGGGCCCGCACAAGCGGUGGAGCAUGUGGUUUAAUUCGAUGCAACGCGAAGAACCUUACCUGGUCUUGACAUCCACGGAAGUUUUCAGAGAUGAGAAUGUGCCUUCGGGAACCGUGAGACAGGUGCUGCAUGGCUGUCGUCAGCUCGUGUUGUGAAAUGUUGGGUUAAGUCCCGCAACGAGCGCAACCCUUAUCCUUUGUUGCCAGCGGUCCGGCCGGGAACUCAAAGGAGACUGCCAGUGAUAAACUGGAGGAAGGUGGGGAUGACGUCAAGUCAUCAUGGCCCUUACGACCAGGGCUACACACGUGCUACAAUGGCGCAUACAAAGAGAAGCGACCUCGCGAGAGCAAGCGGACCUCAUAAAGUGCGUCGUAGUCCGGAUUGGAGUCUGCAACUCGGCUCCAUGAAGUCGGAAUCGCUAGUAAUCGUGGAUCAGAAUGCCACGGUGAAUACGUUCCCGGGCCUUGUACACACCGCCCGUCACACCAUGGGAGUGGGUUGCAAAAGAAGUAGGUAGCUUAACCUUCGGGAGGGCGCUUACCACUUUGUGAUUCAUGACUGGGGUGAAGUC